rnacentral:rRNA from 1 species
UACGUAGGGUGCGAGCGUUGUCCGGAAUUAUUGGGCGUAAAGAGCUCGUAGGCGGUGUGUCACGUCGGCCGUGAAAACCUGGGGCUUAACUCUGGGCGUGCGGUCGAUACGGGCAUCACUAGAGUUCGGCAGGGGAGACUGGAAUUCCUGGUGUAGCGGUGAAAUGCGCAGAUAUCAGGAGGAACACCGGUGGCGAAGGCGGGUCGCUGGGCCGAUACUGACGCUGAGGCGCGAAAGCGUGGGGAGCAAACAGG